UUCAUAAAGGUGUAGCUCCAUCAUAUUUACGUUUGGAGCGAAGGCAGGCAAAGUAUAUUUAUUUACAGAAUUAGCAAAUCCUUGUACAUAAGCACCUUCCAGGUCUUUCUCAGGGAAGUGGAUCGAUGGAGCGGUCUUUCGGAUGAUAAUAAUAGCAUCUAUCAUACCCACAUUAAAAUCCGCCCCAUCCAGAUCAUCGGAAAUUGGAAGGGGAACAAGUAAACAUUUCUAGGAAUCACUAACAAAGGAUGUGAAAUUCAGAAAUAGCUGAUGUCCUUCGAUUUUCUUUCAUCAAAGAGUUCCAAGUCACGUUGGCUCCGCAACAGCUUCGUGUGAUCUCAUCAUGGGUGGCUGCCUUUUAGAGGCUUAUUGGACGUUGUCAUACAUAAAGCACUUUCUCUGAGGACGGUAAAAAUAAUUCGAAACUGGAACAUGUGCACUGUCACUUUCUACCCACGCUUUUAGUUCUACUUAUUGGCCAGCUCGAUCUACUUUCACCCAGCGCGACGGUCCAAUCAACGAGCUUUCACCACCACGAUGGCGGAUCCCGGCCGGUUGCCCGGUUUCCUCUAUUUCAGGCCGACUGGCAACUGGUGGUGGGGACCUCCGCCCCCCAAUAGCAUCAUCCAUAAAUCUCAAGUAGCAUCAUUUCGCCCACGUACUUACUUAUUCCAAACUUAAGCAAGUGAAAGUUCUACCAAGUAAACUGCAAUCUUCCGAUAUUCGCCAUACUUAAAAAUAUUCCAAUUAUUUGCUAUAUUCAUCCUGCAGUGGUGAAGACUGAUACAAGAUUAGCAUAAAUAUGUAAUUAAGUAUCAGUAGAGCGUAGUAUAAGAUAUGUAUAUUGCCAAUUUGUUAUAUGUGCUGUGUAGGCAUAUACGUAAUGCUCAUUCCUCUAUGUAUAUACAGCAUUAAGGAUAUAACUUGAGGAGGAAGGGAAUCAUCUCCCUUUGUCUCAACAACAACAUACACAAAUCCAUCCAUCCAAUUGGGUCGAGUUUCAGCACAUCUUUUGGUGCUGGUUUUCACAUGGUUUGUUGAAGCUGGGCAGAAACUGCGUCGCAAAUUUUGGCAAAGUCACAUUGAGAAGCUCCUCUACUCGCCCUACCACCACUGCUCCCCCGCUUUGUUGCUAGUCAACUCCAACUGGUUUUACUUACCCAGUCCUCUCAACCAAGACAAAGCUCCAGUCAACUAGUUUUUCUUCGCUAUGUUGAAAAGCCUACAUAUUUCAGGUGCAUCUUUAUAAAAAACACUGUAUGUUUACGUUUAGAACUUCAUCCUGCUUGUGCAAUCUUCACGCUGGCGGAAAGUGGUGCUCAUCAGUCUUUGUACACGUCAGCAAAAGUACAAUUUUAUGGAUGCAUAUUGCCAUUAUUAUGUAAACGACCUCUCGUCCUCUGGAAAACCUUUUCAAAAUACCACAACCACAAGAUCAUUAUUUUUAUUUUUAUUUAGGCAUUAGGAACUAAAUUAUCAUGUUGUCAAUUAAUAAAUUGUGCACAAAAAUGUAAAUGAAACCCAACCACAUCCUUCACCAUUUUGUAGCCAAAACAAAUUGUAUAACUUUGGAAUCUUUAAAAGUCUAUUCAAUUCCUUAUUAGAUAUGUACAUAAAUAAAUAAAUAAAUUUGUUCUCAAUACAACUUAUCUAAAUAACUGACAGUCCAUUGAUGGGUAUAAAAUGCAAAAAGUCCAUUCUGAGACACAGAUACUGCAUUGUAUGUAAACUACUCGUAUUUGACCAAUAGUUGCAACAUACACAAAUAAACAACUUUAUAUUAUAAGGAAGAUCCAUCAUCAUACUAAUAUUUCGCGAAUAACAUACAUAGGCACGAGUCACACGAUGGAGAUGCAUAAAUUCUUGGUUAUGUUAAAUUCCAGUUCAGUCCGAUACACUACGAUACCAGACUAACUGCAUCUUAUCUAAAUCCGCACAUGUAGUACUCGAGAGGAGUUAAAUUAUCAACCUACUGCAAUUGUGCCAUUAAGCUCCCAUGAGAUAAUUAAUUUACCAGUGAUGUAGUGCAAGAAACUUCAUUAAUAAAUAGCAAUUUUUUAAGAAAGACAAAUGAUAUGAUGACGCAAGUCUGAUCUUCGUGCAUUUUUUUACAUAUUAUUUUUUACCUGUAACACGGGUUUACACUGAUGCAACAUACAUACAACUCGUAAAUUUAUAUUUACAAAUUGAGAUUGAAAGAAGAUGAACAAGUUUGAGGAUUUCACCCACAAAUGCAGAAACUACGUGAUGCCUUGCACGGAGUGAAGUGACAAGCGCCUAGAUUCGAGAGAAAGAGAGAUCCAGAAAAUUCUAGUGCAUUUCAUUUCAUACCCGAGAGAAUUCUAGUCUUUGAGAUUCUGCAACAAAGAAGUUCCACUAAAAUAUUGCCAGUCCUCACUUUGUGAAUUUUCACGAAUGUGAAUAUUACGAUGAAGAGCAUUUUCAUCAUUAAAUUGCAUUAAAUUUAUUUGGCUUAAAAGCUUUACUAAUCCAAUCUUCAGCAGAAGAGGACAGGUCUCUAUCCAACAUUUGCGUUAUGCAGGCAGCGAGAAUUCUCAUUGUAUUGUACUGCGUGGUAUGUAUGUACGAUGUACUAGGUAUGCAUUCAAGUAAGUACAUUGCAUGUAUACAGCCUUUUUACUGCUUCUGCUCCUGCCUGCACGUACUUAUAAACAACUCUGGCCCCCAUAUCGAUCUUCUGGUGGAAAGCUCUGGAUUCAUUCGCUAUGGUAUUAUUGUGCUCGACUCUACUGCGUUUUACCCUUCAUAUAAAAGGAAUGUCAAAGAGCUUGGGUCUCAGUUUCUUCGGAAACUCUGUGCAGUCAAGACUCUCGACUGGACGACCUGCUGAACCUGACGCUGCGGACGAGGAAGGAACUACACACCAACAACCACACCCACCCGACGUGGACGCCCACACCACAUUUCGCAUGUGUCCCCACUACCUCAGCAGCAGAAUACUGAACAAGCUGCCCAACAGGUGAUACCGGUGAAAGCCCUCGGGCCCCAACCCCACCGCUUUCUCCACCUCCGUCGACACCUUUGGCAUCAUCCCAGGCGGCCCUUGAGACAAUCAAGGGCGCGCCUCCCGACUGAAAAAGCUGAGAUGUAGUACCUACUUACCAAACCAGACCUUCCGCCGACGCAGUUCUCACUCGACCAUCAUAUCCAACAGUACGACAACGUCAACAACAAAUCAAGGCAGAUAAGCUGAAAUUUGCUCUUCUUAAAAUAUCAUCGUCAUCCAGUCUAUUUCGAGACAGUUUACUUUUAAAAUAACAAUCUUAUAUACGAAUUAAGGCCAAGUAUUAAGUAACCGUAAAGUUAAUGUACCUUAAAGUGCGUUAUUGAGACUCGAAGAACAGAGUGAGCUUAGAAGUUAAGGAGAAAGUACUCUGAAUUAGUAGACUAUUGAGUGCGAAGAAAGACAAAUAUUUUAGCCCCUCAUCAACUGGCUGUGCAGCAGACGUCAACGACUUACUACUGCUACAACAAUCUACAUUUGUGAGACAUUCUAGUCUCAAACGCCAACACCAUCAACAUUUCUGGGUUUCAGCGUAACACACAUUGAACGUGAUCUGGCCGACUUUUCGAGGGGAAAGCGAUUGUCCGGCAGUACUGACCACCACCUUUGAUUGAACCAUCUCCUGCGUGACCUGCCUGAACUGAACCUACUGGAUUCGUGGAAAGGAAUUCGAUAAGCUAACCCCUUCGGGGGCGCUUAUGCGGGGCGCUUGCGUCCGCGCGACCUUCGCCAUCACCAUCGCUCGCGAAAAUCACUUGUUGCCUGGGACAUUGAAGAAGAAGGAAUCCUUCACUCUGUACUGAUUACAUUUUCUACAGUCAGCCGCACACACCCCUCACAGCCAACCAACAAAGCGCACAAAGUCAUCAUCUUGGGAUCGAGGAGGAGGAGGCAGGCAGAGUUGGGCAACCACUCUGACCUUCGCCAAGGGACUGCGACACCCAGACUGACAUCACCAAUCUAAAGACCAACAGAGAUAUUCGGGUCACCGAAAUCGGGGAAGAUCUCAUCUCGUUUUGGACGUCGAUCAAACAACGGAAGUCGAAUUAGCUUUAAGAUCUAAUUAAGUUGACCAUUCAUAUAAUAUAAUAUUUGAUCAGUAACAUCGGACAGAAAACGGUACUCGAUUCAUAAUUCGUAUAUCCGAUCCAAAGAACAGUUUUAGAGUUUUCACAGCCGCUCUCCGGGUUUAUAUGUAACAUCCUUGGUUUAAUUGGUUGAUUGAUGAGAGCAGGUGAGGCUGGCUUACACACAUGCUGCUUCCCAGCAUUAUCUCAUGGUACAAAGAGGGAUAGAAGGACAGAAAUUUUUGGGGUAAGCGUUUGAUCAUUAGCCCACCGAUUGAUUAUUCGAUAAUAAGACGUUGACAUAGUUGUCAAUUUUAAGGUAUUAAUCAAACUAUGCAAUAAUUUUAAAACUGUAAUAACUCUGGGUACACCUGGUAAGUUAAGAUUUGUCGCAUAUUGGACUGAAAUAUUGGAGUGAGUUAUUAGGUUAGAGUAAUUGACAAUAUACGCACAGUUAGAAUCAGAAGGAUAGGUCAGCAUACAUACAGAGAACGCACACGUACGAUUAGUAAGGCAAAGGUGGCAUGUUAGAUCGGGGAAUGGCGUAGAGAAAGCAUGGCUUGACUAGAAAAGGUAUCAAACAAAGGCAAGGAAUGCUAAAAAAGUGACAUCAGAAAAUAUUUACACCUUAAAAUAAAUUCAAUAUUGAACUGAGGAGAGAGAUCCUGAAAUCCUGUAAGCUUACACACACGUAGGUUAAGAAAAGCCAAAGUCAUCAGUUUAGUAAUUAAGUCGUGAUAAUAAAAUCCCCAGCUUUUUCCAACAAUUUGCAAAUUGGUCAAUUUUUGUCAGAAUUAUAUUGUUCAUUAAGUAGAAUUUAAUUGACUUGUACAAAACUAUUGGAGAAAGCUCGGUGUGUAUCAAAAAGACGUGUAAAUUCUUUAGUUUUUUUCUUAAAUUCCCCUUAGUUUAAGGUUUAGUUAAGUUAGGGUAAAUAGGUUAGGGUGUUUGGGGAAGGGUUUGUAGGUUAUCUACUAGUUGAGCAGUCUUAAAUUGUAAAAAUAACAAAAACAUUACAUCAUAAGUACAGUAAGGGUUAGCCGGAAGCAUUGUAAGGUAAUUAGAUUUGGUGUGCUAAGACGUCCUGUAGAUAGGUGUACAUAGCAAGUAAGCAUUGUUGUAGAAAGUUUGGAGGAUUUGAAGUUUCAGGACAUCAUGUUCUAAUUUUUAAGGGGUGAGUUCAAGGAUUGCACAAUCCCAUCGCAAGGGUGCAUCACAAAGAACAACGAAGAUUAAUAUGUAUCUCUCGUAAGACAACAAACCUUAACUUACAAACAGGCACAAGAUUUUACGCACACAAGGGCGUCUACAAGCAGAGAUAUUUUGAAAUAUACAUACAUUGUAUACCAACUUUUGUUGCUUUUGUUAUUUCCAAAUUGCAAAGCCCAAAGGUUGUUCCAACCGAUUUUGAGUAAAAGCAGAUAGCGGAAAGUUAUUCAGAGGUGCUAUAUUUUAGUUUAGCCAAAUCAUCAGGCAAGAAAGACAUUUUCCUUAGUUGACACACACACAAGAUCACCGACCACUAGGUUUGCUUAUCACCAUUUGUUGAAGCACCAUAAGUUAAUUGCUUCUUAUUUCAAAGUUUUAUUACAACUACAAGAGCCAUAUUAUUGGUCGGUUUUAAGACUGAGUACUUGUAAGCCUAUAUAAGACUAUAGAGCAAGAAAAGUGAAGGCUGAGAAUGAAGAAAGUAUGAAAGAAAGAAAGCAAUAUCCGUCAAAGUGGUAAAAGAAACAGUAGGACAGGACCGACUAAAUUAAUUUUAUCAUGUAAAUUGCAUAAGCAGUAAGACGUGUUAAUGUUGUAAAGGGUAAAUAUUCAGGAUAAGAAUUGUCGCUGCAGUAAUUAAAUAGGUGUUUAUGCAGCACAAUCGUUUACAGGGGGUUAGCUUAGAUUGUUGCUGCGUUAGUUAGGACUGAGAUGAAGAAGAAAAUCUAUGCGAACUGAAAUUGUUGGAAAGUUGUUGUAGGAUUGUCAGUGCUUUAUAACUUAUACGAAAAAAUAACACAUCAAAGCAGGCGAAGGAUUAAAUUAGGAGCAAUUCAAAGUCAAAUUAGUUGUGGUACUGUUAAUUUAUUGUACAAAAGCACUCGAGCUAACAUGUUAAGUUCAAGAAAAUAAGUGGUAAUGGAAUAAAGUGACGAAGGCUAAAGCUUUAGCAAGCUUCAAUUUUAGAGUUUAUAUCAAGUCAGAAGGGCAAAAUAUUAAAUUCGGGUAAGGGCAGGGAUUGGUAUAGAAAUUAUAUAUGUCAGGUUUAAGGUCUCAUUAGUUAUUUCGGGUUAAGGUUGGGCACAUAAGGCUACAGAAUUAUUAAUGGAAAAUCCUUACGAAAGAUAAAUACACAAAAAAAUAUACCUUGCUAUCUCAUAUCACUUUAGGCUUACUGAACUUUUAGGAUAAGACAGUGAUAACUAUAGGUCAAUAAUAAUCAGUAAUGUGUACAUACUCGCUAGUUAGGUGACGUAAGACAAGCCCGACACAAAUCUAUACCACCAUCGCAACACGUAGUGUACAGAUUGGAAAAGCUACAAGAAAAGCUACAGAUUUUAACUUACCUUAUCUAAUUGUAAGAAAUUUCGAAUUAUUGCAUUACAAAAGUUUGCUAUCUACAAUCAGUAGAGCAAUUAAAAGGGACAGAUAAAGCAUUUACAAAAGUAAUUUGUGAGUAGAUAUUCCCAUCAACCUCCUCUCGUUUUUGGGCUCAUCGUAUGACGUCUCGUUGGGCUCAAAAACGGGGUUGGUUCGAUUUGACGAUCUUGUUCGAAUAUUCGUUGAGCUAAAAAAUAAUCAAUCUAUUGUCAUCCACUAUCUAAUGAAGUGAAGGAGAAAGUUCUUGGUGUUUGAGCAUUUGACAGAAAAAUACACAGAAAGACUCAACCCAAUCCUUAACCGAAAACGUACAUAAAUGUCAGAAAAGUGAAAAACUUGCAAUUUGCAAAAAGUGUCCAGACUGUGACUGUCGUAUUUGGGAGUAUCAAAAUGAUGGAAUAAGAAUUUUGUAAACUUUACCUAAUUAAUUGUUAUAUAAUAUUAAUCACUAAUAAUCGUACUUUGGAUGUGCUUUCCCUCCACAUGCUACUUGACAAUUUAUAAUUAAAUCUUUGGACCCUAUUGUACCUUACCUUUUGACUUAUUGUUAUUUACAUGUGACUGCAUUAAAAUAUAUAAAUAUGUAAUAUAUAUACACACAAGAGAAUCUUAUUGUAUUUCAACACUUACUUAUCACUAAAUCGAAUCAAUCACUAUACUCAAUUUGUAAAUACUUUUUAAAAAUUCAGAAUUCAGAGUAAUCCAUCUUAACUCUAUUCUUGUGUCCUCUUUAUUGCUGUUGUAGUUUUGGUGAAUCAUAUAAAUAGCCAGUUUCUUAAGGUGUCAAAUAAAAUUGAUGUUUAAUUUUA